rnacentral:rRNA from 1 species
GACGAACGCUGGCGGCGUGCUUAACACAUGCAAGUCGAACGGAAAGGCCCUGCUUUUGUGGGGUGCUCGAGUGGCGAACGGGUGAGUAACACGUGAGUAACCUGCCCUUGACUUUGGGAUAACUUCAGGAAACUGGGGCUAAUACCGGAUAGGAGCUCCUGCUGCAUGGUGGGGGUUGGAAAGUUUCGGCGGUUGGGGAUGGACUCGCGGCUUAUCAGCUUGUUGGUGGGGUAGUGGCUUACCAAGGCUUUGACGGGUAGCCGGCCUGAGAGGGUGACCGGCCACAUUGGGACUGAGAUACGGCCCAGACUCCUACGGGAGGCAGCAGUGGGGAAUAUCGGACAAUGGGCGGAAGCCUGAUGCAGCAACGCCGCGUGCGGGAUGACGGCCUUCGGGUUGUAAACCGCUUUCGCCUGUGACGAAGCGUGAGUGACGGUAAUGGGUAAAGAAGCACCGGCUAACUACGU